CUGGUGCCAGCAGCCGCGGUAAUUCCAGCUCCAAUAGCGUAUAUUAAAGUUGUUGCAGUUAAAAAGCUCGUAGUUGAAUUUCGGGGUCAGCAGGUUGGUCGUGCCACUGGUAUGAACUGGCCUYGCUGAUUCCUCCUUYUUGAAGAACCGUGAUGCCAUUAAUUUGGUGUUGCGGGGAAACAGGACUGUUACUUUGAAAAAAUUAGAGUGUUUAAAGCAGGCUAACGCUUGAAUACAUUAGCAUGGAAUAAUAAAAUAGGACGUUUGAUCCUAUUUUGUUGGUUUCUAGGGUUGACGUAAUGAUUAAUAGGGAUAGUUGGGGGCAUUAGUAUUCAAUUGUCAGAGGUGAAAUUCUUGGAUUUAUUGAAGACUAACUACUGCGAAAGCAUUUGCCAAGGAUGUUUUCAUUAAUCAAGAACGAAAGUUAGGGGAUCGAAGACGAUCAGAUACCGUCGUAGUCUUAACCAUAAACUAUGCCGACUAGGGAUCGGAUGAUGUUAAUUUUUUAAUGACUCAUUCGGCG
rnacentral:rRNA from 1 species